rnacentral:rRNA from 1 species
UGAUCCCAUCAGAACUCCGAAGUUAAGCGUGCUUGGGCGAGAGUAGUACUAGGACGGGUGACCUCCUGGGAAGUCCUCGUGUUGCAUCC